ACAACUCCUGAAGUAUCUUGAAGAUCGC
rnacentral:sRNA from 1 species